rnacentral:lncRNA from 1 species
CUCGCCUCCCGACCCCGCCGCGGCCCCGGAGUCACAGGCGCGCCUCCGCGUCGCUGCCUCCAGGGACUCUCCCAGGAGAGGCCCGCGCGCUCCCGGCCUCGAGGAAGUUGCGCGGCCGGCGUGGUAGGCGGGUUUCCCAAGAGGUGUGUGUCCAGGAAAACACUCUUCUCUCCACGGAGGAGAAAGAGGCGACGCCCACGGCAAAGAGCAGUCCGGCGUCGGGGUUCGGGACGCGCCAAAGCCAGACUUCAGAUCUGAGCGGCCGCGGGCCCAAGCCGGCGUGGAGACGUCACCGCAACUGGCCAGGCAGGGAGGCGGUGGCAGGACCCCUCCUCUCCAACUGUCCCUACCCUGCACCGAAACACGGCUUUGGGAGCUGCGGGCCACACCCGGAGACACCGGCGGCCGGAGAGGGCCAAGAGUCAGGCUUCUCCGACGCUACAGGUCUUCUUAAUUCUGCGGAAAGGACUUGGGACUCCUACUCACCGCGGUGGGUGCGGACUCAGGAAGAGUUAGUUGUAGACAGUUUGCGGCGGCGUCCCGCUUCUUUCGCGCGCAAAGUCUCCGGGCGGCCCCGCGUGGUUAGAAACGCGGCGUGCGCAGGUUGGCGGAAGGGGGCGCAAGGCGCACGGCCGCCAGAGGGACUCGAUCAGCGAGAAGAGUUGAAGGCUCAGCGAGCGCUGGCAGAUCAGAGCGCACGGGGCGGUGGUGGGAGUCAGUACACUCGGGGAUUGGGGGGGGGGUGCGGUGCGCACGGAGGGGGCGCACUGUACGCGGAGCGGGAGGUGCAAGAGCGCGCGGGGGCGCAGUGUACUAGCGGGUGGGCCUCGGUUCGCCCGGGGGCGGGGGGCGCGCGGCGCGCUGGGGCGCGUGCGGUUUUGUGUGCUGGGAGGUGUGCGUGA